rnacentral:rRNA from 1 species
UACGUAGGUGGCAAGCGUUGUCCGGAUUUACUGGGCGUAAAGAGCGCGCAGGCGGUCGUGCAAGUCGCGUGUGAAAGCCCCCGGCUCAACUGGGGAGGGUCACGCGAUACUGCUCGACUCGAAGGCAGGAGAGGGAAGUGGAAUUCCCGGUGUAGUGGUGAAAUGCGUAGAUAUCGGGAGGAACACCAGUGGCGAAGGCGGGUUGCUGGGCUGACACUGACGCUGAGGCGCGAAAGCUAGGGGAGCGAACGGG